rnacentral:lncRNA from 1 species
CAGUUAUUCAGCAAGCUGCUUGGUCGUCCACCCCAGAAAUUACCUACACACACAACUCCGAGUCGUAUCCUGCUCACAUAAAUACACUUAUACUGGAAAAAAGAAAACUAAGAAAGAGGUGGCAGCUCACUAGGCACCCAGAAGAUAAAACAAAUUUUAAUAGAGCUUGCAGAUUACUCAGAAGAAACUUGUUUCAACAUAAGGACAAUGGAAUCAACAAUUAUUUAAAGAAAAUCUCACCUUCAGAUGAUACAAAUUAUUCUCAGUGGAAACUAACAAAAAAACUUAAAGACAACGAACAAAUGAAUAUGCCAA